AUGAUUGAUGAGGAAACCAAAGCGGUCGUGGCUUUCAAAGUGAAGUCCCAUUUUGCACCAAAACCGCCCACGCCGCUAAAGGAGAUAAUACCUGCGAAAACCAUAGAGCACUUUGUGGGACUUCUAGAGCGAGCCCCGACACAUGUGGAGAAUAGGGCAUCAGACUAUGAACGCUCUAUUAGGAAGUCAUAUGAGGAACAAACGGAGCAGUCAAAAUGUACAAGUAGUAAUAAAAGCGGGAAAACAGUUGCCCAUCUCGAAGAAGAGGCAAUGCAAUUGAUCCCCCCGCUCAAGGUGAUUACCGAUAAGGUAACCGACAGAGCUAAAGACUCUGUAUCAGUGUUGAUCAACCUGUUAAGGAUUAAUUUAAUCCUAAUAAUCAAUGCUUAG
rnacentral:rRNA from 1 species